CGGUGCAGGACUCCGCGGCUC
rnacentral:miRNA from 1 species